GUGAAGAACGCAGCGAAAUGCGAUAAGUAAUGUGAAUUGCAGAGUUCAGUGAAUCAUCGAAUCUUUGAACGCACAUUGCGCCCGUUAGUAUUCUGACGGGCAUGCCUGUCCGAGCGUCAUUUCAACCCUCAAGCGCAGCUUGGUGUUGGUGGAUUGCGUGCCCUCGCGGCGCUGCAACCGCCCAAAUACAGUGGCGGUCCCGCUGCGGCUCCCUUUGCGUAGUAACUCACCUCGCACUGGACCGGGCGGCGGCCUGCCGUAAAACCCCAACUCACGAAAUGUUGACCUCGGAUCAGGUAGGAAUACCCGCUGAACUUAAGCAUAUCAAUAAGCGGAGGA
rnacentral:misc_RNA from 1 species